CACCGGCGCAGGUUCGCUUUCCGGCGGUUGCACCGGGCCGGGGUGCCAGCGCCCGCCUUCCCGUUUCCUCCCGUUCCGCAGCGCGCCCACGGCCUGUGACCCCGGCGACCGCUCCCCAGUGACGAGAGAGCUGGGCCGGGCGCUGCUCCGGCCUGACCUGCGAAGGGACCUCGGUCCAGUCCCCUGUUGCGCCGCGUCCCCUGUCCGUCCGUGCGCGGGCCAGUCAGGGGCCAGUGUCUCGAGCGGUCGAGGUCGCAGACCUAGAGGCGCCCCACAGGCCGGCCCGGGGCGCUGGGAGCGCCGGCCGCGGGCCGGGUGGGGAUGCCUCUGCACGUGAAGUGGCCGUUCCCCGCGGUGCCGCCGCUCACCUGGACCCUGGCCAGCAGCGUCGUCAUGGGCUUGGUGGGCACCUACAGCUGCUUCUGGACCAAGUACAUGAACCACCUGACCGUGCACAACAAGGAGGUGCUGUACGAGCUCAUCGAGAACCGAGGCCCGGCCACGCCCCUCAUCACCGUGUCCAAUCACCAGUCCUGCAUGGACGACCCUCAUCUCUGGGGGAUCCUGAAACUCCGCCACAUCUGGAACCUGAAGUUGAUGCGUUGGACCCCUGCAGCUGCAGACAUCUGCUUCACCAAGGAGCUACACUCCCACUUCUUCAGCUUGGGCAAGUGUGUGCCUGUGUGCCGAGGAGAUGGCGUCUACCAGAAGGGGAUGGACUUCAUUUUGGAGAAGCUCAACCAUGGGGACUGGGUGCAUAUCUUCCCAGAAGGGAAAGUGAACAUGAGUUCCGAAUUCCUGCGUUUCAAGUGGGGUAAGGGCUGCUGGUCUCUGGCCACAGCCAUCCUCCCGGCCCAGAGAUGGCCCUGUGGGCCCCUGGCUCCCGCCCCCUCGGGCUGGGUUGUAUGGGGGUAGAUGGGCGUGUUGUAGCGCCAGGAAGGGGACAGGUGCUGAGACUAGGCCUGCCUCUCGCAGGGGCUUGCCCAAGGGAGCUGAAUUGAACUGGAGGAUGUCGGGGGUGGCAGUGGCCAGAGGCUGGCACAGAAGCUUGGCUCAGGGCCCAGCUUAUGCUAACAUUUCUACCUCCCCACUGGGCAGGAAUCGGGCGC
rnacentral:sRNA from 1 species